rnacentral:rRNA from 1 species
GAUGAACGCUGGCGGCGUGCCUAAUACAUGCAAGUCGAGCGAACAGACGAGGAGCUUGCUCCUCUGACGUUAGCGGCGGACGGGUGAGUAACACGUGGAUAACCUACCUAUAAGACUGGGAUAACUUCGGGAAACCGGAGCUAAUACCGGAUAAUAUAUUGAACCGCAUGGUUCAAUAGUGAAAGACGGUUUUGCUGUCACUUAUAGAUGAAUCCGCGCCGCAUUAGCUAGUUGGUAAGGUAACGGCUUACCAAGGCAACGAUGCGUAGCCGACCUGAGAGGGUGAUCGGCCACACUGGAACUGAGACACGGUCCAGACUCCUACGGGAGGCAGCAGUAGGGAAUCUUCCGCAAAGGGCGAAAGCCUGACGGAGCAACGCCGCGUGAGUGAUGAAGGUCUUCGGAUCGUAAAACUCUGUUAUUAGGGAAGAACAAAUGUGUAAGUAACUAUGCACGUCUUGACGGUACCUAAUCAGAAAGCCACGGCUAACUACGUG